GACAGAGGGUGCAAACGUUGUUCGGAAUUACUGGGCGUAAAGGGUUCGUAGGUGGCCAACUAAGUCAGACGUGAAAUCCCUCAGCUUAACUGGGGAACUGCGUCUGAUACUGGAUGGCUUGAGUGCAGGAGAGGAAUGCGGAAUUCCAGGUGUAGCGGUGAAAUGCGUAGAUAUCUGGAGGAACACCGGUGGCGAAGGCGGCAUCCUGGACCGGUAUUGACGCUGAGGCGCGAAAGCCAGGGGAGCAAAGCGGG
rnacentral:rRNA from 1 species